AGUGAACGCUGGCGGCAGGCCUAACACAUGCAAGUCGAACGGCAGCACAGGAGAGCUUGCUCUCUGGGUGGCGAGUGGCGGACGGGUGAGGAAUAUAUCGGAAUCUACCCUUUCGUGGGGGAUAACGUAGGGAAACUUACGCUAAUACCGCAUACGAACUGAGGUUGAAAGCGGCGGACCGCAAGGCGUCGCGCGGAUGGAUGAGCCGAUAUCUGAUUAGCUAGUUGGCGGGGUAAAGGCCCACCAAGGCGACGAUCGGUAGCUGGGCUGAGAGGAUGAUCAGCCACACUGGAACUGAGACACGGUCCAGACUCCUACGGGAGGCAGCAGUGGGGAAUAUUGGACAAUGGGCGCAAGCCUGAUCCAGCCAUGCCGCGUGUGUGAAGAAGGCCUUCGGGUUGUAAAGCACUUUUGUUGGGAAAGAAAAGCGGUCGGUUAAUACCCGGUCGUUCUGACGGUACCCAAAGAAUAAGCACCGGCUAACUUCGUGCCAGCCGCCGCCGUAAAAC
rnacentral:rRNA from 1 species